CCUACGGGAGGCAGCAGUGGGGAAUAUUGCGCAAUGGGCGAAAGCCUGACGCAGCGACGCCGCGUGAGGGAUGAAGGUCUUCGGAUCGUAAACCUCUGUCAGCAGGGAAGAACGGUCACUGUGCUAAUCAGCAGUGAAUUGACGGUACCUGCAAAGGAAGCACCGGCUAACUCCGUCCCAGCAGCCGCGGUAAUACGGAGGGUGCGAGGGUUAAUCGGAAUUACUGGGCGUAAAGCGCUCGUAGGGGGAAGGUCAGUUAAGGGUGAAAUCCCCGCGCUCAAGGUGGGAACUGCCUUUGACACUGGGAAACGGGAGUGUGUGAGAGGAUAGUGGAAUGCCAGGUGUAGGAGUGAAAUCCGUAGAUAUCUGGAGGAACAUCAGUGGCGAAGGCGACUAUCUGGCACAUAACUGACGCUGAGGAGCGAAAGCGUGGGUAGCGAACAGGAUUAGAUACCCUUGUAGUC
rnacentral:rRNA from 1 species